GUUCAAGUAUUUCCGAAUCCAAAAAAGAGCUUUGAAAAUGAUAGGCGAUAGAACUAUAACCAAAAUAAUUACGUCCGCCGCAAUGUUUCAUGCCUUUCGUUGGUUUACCGAUAUUUUUAUAAACAGCGUUCUGUCGAAUUAGCCAUUUGAUUUCCCCCCCUUUAAACAAUCCAGCCGUAAUAGUCAUACUUCAAGAAAUGCACAUCAGUUUGACCUUGAGCUCAAUUUCGGUCGUACUGUCUAGUAUAGAUAUUCUUUUUUAACCGCACAUUGAGAAUGUGGAAUGCUUUACCCAGCUCUGUUUUUCCCUAUCAUUUUGAUAUUCAAAACUUUAAGACCAAUGUGCAUCGCUCGCACCUAUGAAUUUGGCAAAAACUCAACAAAACAUCGAAUAAGCUACAAGAGUGCGUUCAAAGGAUAGCAAACUGACCGCAAAAAGGCUAAAUCUGAUCCAAACGUCAUCGUGUAUAUCACUUUUGAUUUGCUAUGCCCUUGCCCAAACUAACAACAUCAGAGGCAUUCUACAUACAUGCGGCAGAAGUAAAAACGUUUAAUAGAUGAUGAAUCAUAAUCUACAGAUUGAGGAGAAGUUUAAGAGAUGCUUCCAACCCACUGGAAACACCAGAUAAUUUAUAUGUGUUAUACUUUCGGCUUAGCAAACACGCAUUUAAAUAUAUUUUAAGUCAGAUAAGUUCAGGAUUUUAAACGACUCAAAGGCCGCAUUCACAAAGCAAGUGGCUACGUAGUCAAGGGAUUUUGAUUGGCUAAAUCUAACUACAAAAGUAGUUGAAAUUUUCCCUCCGACGUAGUGUAAAAAAUUCGGCUACAAAGUUAGUGAAGAAUGAUUUUGACGUUUCACAAUCAGCUGUUCGGUAAAUUUAAGUAACACGAAUUCAAAAUGAAAUAAAUCGUUCAGUAUUUAAAUACAAACAUAAAUCAUUCAAAUUGUGUCUUAAAUUUGAUUUUAUUUAAUUUAAAAACACAAAAAAAAAGUUAAAGUUUUCAAAACAAAAAUUGUUCUUAUUUUAUAUAUUUGCAUUUGUUAAUAAUAUGACAGUUCCACAUUGACUAGCUUUGUACUGUAGUUUUGCAUUCAUAAAGCUAGUUGAAUUUUGACUACGUAGCCACUAGCUUUGUGAAUGCGACCAAAGUUCUGCAAUUACACCAAUUUUAAAACUUGCGUGCGCAAGUGGAAGUUAUGAAAAUAGUGUAUUAAAUGACUUUGAGCUAGGUUUCUUCCCACCUACAGUUUCAGUAGUUUUAAGCGAAGUGCUUAAUUUGAUUGAAGCAAGAAUCUGCCCAGUUUGGAUCAAUGUAGAUAUGUCCACUAAUGAAAAGCAAGAAGCGAGAAACUAUUUUUUUUAAAGAGCAGACUUACCAGGGAUAGUUGGACGUGUAGACGGAACUCACAUCGGUAUCAUAUCUUGUUAUCAGUUACAACACCAAUAUUUAAAUAGAAAAGGCUUGUGACAAUAAUGGAGUAAUAAGAUUUAUUUAUGCUAGAUAUCCUGUUUCUACGCAUGACUCGUUUGUGUGGAAUCAUAGUGCGUAAAAGGAUUUGUUGGAAAGGUGGUGGAUAAAUGGAGAGCGGUCAAGAUAUCUUGGAGAUGCAGGAUAAUAUCCUCUACUGCCGUAUUUACUCGUUCCAUUUAGAAAUGCCUCCUCAGGGUCUAAAGAAGGACUAUUCAAUAAAAAAUAUGCGAAGACAAGAAACAUUAUUGAGA